rnacentral:lncRNA from 1 species
AGAGCUCAGGUGACAUCACAGAACAGGCAGAGGCAGUUCAGGGGUAUUCUGGUUGCCUUACCCAGCUCUGAAGUCUGUCAGCCUCUUCAGAUGUCACUUGCCAUGUGGUAAGGAAGUGUAGUCAGCAGCUGGUGCAGUGGGAAGAAGAGAAAGGAAGUUCCCCAAGACAAAAACAUCUCGGCAGACCGUGAUCAUGGGCUACAUUCUCCGUACCAGCUUCAUAGCUCCAGUGAGAAAAUAAAUUCCUGCAUCCAGGAGAUGUGGAGUAAGAGAUACAGCUGCCCUUGACCAUAUUUCUUACUUCCGAGAAGAUCGUAGCAGUAAUUCAGUACAGUCUUCAGGGAACACCAAGGCCUGUUUGAUUUUCCAAGUAUCAACAAGUGGAGUUGACAAGAGUGACAAGUGGUCAGAGCAAAGCAUUUCAUGAUGACUGUAACGUGCCUGUGUCAGCAGCGACUGCUUACAGUGAGAUUCACAUGACCAUCGUUUAUGACAUAGGAAGAAUAAAAGGAGAGAGAGAGAGAAAGAUAGGUAGUUGAUCAAAAUGAAGAAUUGGAUUUGGAAAGCAACUUCGAAUAGUCUCUGCUUAUAUUUCUGAGAUUAAGGCAAACAGUCUCAAGAAUCUCAUCCAGGAUACCUCAUCACAGGCUGGAGUGCAGUGUCAUGAGCUUGGCUCACUACAGCCUCCAUCUUCUGUGCUUAAGGAUCCUUCCCUCUCAACCUCCAAGGUAGCUGAGACUACAGGCAACAUUCGAAACCCAGGUGCCACUCCUUCAGGAAGGUACCAUCAAGCUCCAAGGACUCAUCCUCUUUCUCCUUCCCCACUACCUAGUCAUUAGAGCGUCAGCAUCCACUUCCUGAAAGGAAGAUGCCUGUUUUUCACAUAUCCCAGAAAGCCUCAUUUUAGGACAGCAUUUAGCAGAGUGUAUUCAGGAUCCCACUAACCUUUUCGGAAGACAUGACUUCCAGAUGAUAUAAGGCUCCAUCAGGAACUGUGCAGGACUGUGCACUCUGUUGAUACUCACAUGGUGGAAUUAUAUUGCCCUUGGCCAACCCUAAAGCCAUCAAGAUAGCAGCAACUACUCUAUCAUUACUGUACCACCACCUGUAUGGAUCUCGUUGCCCAUAUGAAACUGAGUAAGGAACAAUGUGCAUCACACUCACAGAGAAAGAUGGACAAGUUUGGAAUAAUUCACUGUCGAAGUCUUCUUGAGCUGAGCAGUCAUGUGAGCUUGGAAGAUGAUCCCUCUCCAGCUGAUCCUUCAGCUCAGGCCAUCAUCUACAUCUGGAUUCCUGACCCGGAGAAACUAUGAGUAAUGUGUGCUGCUUUUGAGCCACUAAGCUACAUGAAUUAAUGAAGGAUCAUUAUUAAGUUUUUAAUGGGUCAAGAGAAAGUUACCACUGAGGUCUUCUCUACCUGGGCAACAAUUGACUCCUAACAACCACUAUAAGCUUGGAAGAUGAUCCCUCCCCAGCUGAUCCUUCAGGAAUUUCCACUGAAGUACCUCUGGUUGAAAAGGAGAACAGAGACUUUUUUCACAGCCACAGGACAAAAUUUGUUCAGAAUUAAAUGCUGAAAAAGGAGGCUGGAGUGCCGUGGCACAAUUAUGGUUCACCAGCCUCAACCUCCUGGGAUCAAGCAAUCGUCUCACCUCAGCCUCCUGAGUAGCUGGACUGCAGGUACCCACAAGUAGGGUUGACCACAGUAACAAGUAAGCAAGCAAAACAUUUUGUGAAAACCGUGAAGCAUCUUCCUCUGCAGUGACUUAUCAAAAGGGCCCUUUAGCCUAUCUACUGUGGUGUUCUAAAAGGAAGAAAGAGGCUAGUAAAUCCUGGAUACUUUGCUCCUACACCAAUAUUCCCAGCUGUACCUUGAAAUAAAAGGAUUUAGAACUUUAGAAC